AGACUAUCAAGAGUGUGGUGAGAGUUUUGGCUCGAUGACCCACCCGCAACCUGUCGAUUCGAUAAGGUGCGACAUCCAACCCGCAAGGGAAAGAUAAUUU
rnacentral:ncRNA from 2 species